GUUGGGGUCCUGGCAGGGAGCGGGCCGGGGCUGGCCUGGCCGAGCGGGUCCUGGAGCCCGAGCCUUUGUUUCCCUCUGGGCUGGGUUCACUAGCGGCGGAGUUUUCCACUUGUUGCUAUUUUAUAAAUGAGAAGUUUGAUGAACAUCCUUAUACAUACGUAUUUGCACACAUCCUUGAGAGGUUCCUGGAAAUAAGAUUGACAGAUAAAAAGCAAUGCUUAUUGCUGGGUGUGGUGGCUCACACCUGUAAUCCCAGCACUUUGGGAGGCCUAGGCGAAUGGAUCACCUGAGGUCAGGAGUUCAAGACCAGCCUGGCCAACGAAGGAUCGAGAUCGAGACCGGGAUCGUGAAGAUCGGUCUAAAGAUCGAGACCGAGAACGUGAUAGAGGAGAUAGAGAGCGGGAGAGGGAGAAAGAAAAGGAGAAGGAGUUGCGAGCGUCAACGAAUGCUAUGCUUAUCAGUGCUGGAUUACCACCUUUAAAAGCUUCUCAUUCAGCUCACUCAACCCACUCAGCACAUUCAGCGCAUUC
rnacentral:sRNA from 1 species